rnacentral:rRNA from 1 species
AUACUUGAGAGGAGCUGUCCCUAGUACGAGAGGACCGGGAUGGACGUAUCUCUGGUGGACCUGUUGUCGCGCCAGCGGCAUAGCAGGGUAGCUAUAUACGGACGGGAUAACCGCUGAAUGCAUCUAAGCGGGAAGCCCCCCUCAAAACCAGGUAUUCCUUGAGAGUCGUGGAAGACCACCACGUUGAUAGGCCAGGUGUGGAAGUGUGGCGACACAUGAAGCUGACUGGUACUAAUAGCUCGAUUGGCUUGAUCUUU